GACAAACGCUGGCGGCGUGCCUAACACAUGCAAGUCGAGCGAUCGGCUCGGGAGGGGUAACCCACCCGAGUACGGAGCGGCGAACGGGUGAGUAACACGUGGGCAACCUGCCCCAGGCUCUGGAACAACCCCGGGAAACCGGGGCUGAUGCCGGAUAUUCUCGAGCACUCGCAUGGGAGCUCGAGGAAAGUUCAGGCGGCCUGGGAUGGGCCCGCGGCCUAUCAGCUAGUUGGUGGGGUAACGGCCCACCAAGGCGAAGACGGGUAGCUGGCGUGAGAGCGUGGCCAGCCACACGGGGACUGAGACACGGCCCAGACUCCUACGGGAGGAAGCAGUGGGGAAUCUUGCACAAUGGGCGAAAGCCUGAUGCAGCGACGCCGCGUGGGGGAUGAAGGCCUUCGGGUUGUAAACCCCUUUCGGCAGGGAAGAAGCCGCAAGGUGACGGUACCUGCAGAAGAAGCCCCGGCCAACUACGUGCCAGCCGCCGCCGUAAUAC
rnacentral:rRNA from 1 species